AUUGAACGCUGGCGGCAUGCCUUACACAUGCAAGUCGAACGGUAACAGAUCUUCGGAUGCUGACGAGUGGCGAACGGGUGAGUAAUACAUCGGAACGUGCCUAGUAGUGGGGGAUAACUACUCGAAAGAGCAGCUAAUACCGCAUACGACCUGAGGGUGAAAGCGGGGGAUCGCAAGACCUCGCGCAAUUGGAGCGGCCGAUGUCGGAUUAGCUAGUUGGGGGGGUAAAGGCCUACCAAGUGAACGAUCUGUAGUUGGGCUGAGAGGGCGACCAGCAACACUGGGGCUGAGACACGGCACAGACUCCUACGGGAGGCAGCAGUGGGGAAUUUUGGACAAUGGGCGCAAGCCUGAUCCAGCAAUGCCGCGUGCAGGAAGAAGGCCUUCGGGUUGUAAACUGCUUUUGUCAGGGAAGAAAUCUUCUGGGUUAAUACCUCGGGAGGAUGACGGUACCUGAAGAAUAAGCACCGGCUAGCUACGUGCCAGCCGCCGCCGUAAAAC
rnacentral:rRNA from 1 species